rnacentral:lncRNA from 1 species
GCGGGACUCAGGUGGGCGGGAUGCGAAGAGCUAUGGGGAAGGAUUCGAAUUCCGGUGGAUUUAAAUCGCGGGAGGAGAAGCUACCGCGGCCUAAAGAAGACCUCUGUUGAACACAGACUGCAGUUCCAGCCACCACAGCUAAUCUGGAUCAUGAAUGGGAGCCACCGUGGUCUUGGCAAGUCCGAAAACAUAGCUGAGUAGCUCGUCUAGAAAAGAGAUUUGUGUUCAGCUGAGUUAAAAGAAGUAUUUACCUCAAACCUCUCCUCUUGCACAACCAACCCCCGUUAUAAAAGGAAGUGCAAAAUGGAAUAAACUGAUUUUAAGUGAAUACAAGCUGUCUUUAUAUACAAAAGUAACUCAAGGAUGGUGAUGUACCCAGUCAUGCUUUCAACUGAUUUGGGAAGCCUACACCAUUCACCUUAGGUUACAUAUGAGGAUAACUUAAAACAUUAAGCUAUGCAUAAAAACUCCAAGAGAAACAAUAAUUUAAGAGUUUCUCACACAGAAGCGAACUCUGUGGAUGCUGAGAAGGAAAAAAAUGAGAGUCAAAACAACUUUUUUGAACUGCUGCCUGCAGAAAUCACUUUUAAAAUUUUCAGUCAGCUGGACAUUCGGAGUCUGUGCAGGGCUUCAUUGACAUGCAGGAGCUGGAAUGACACAAUAAGAAACAGUGACUCUUUAUGGAAACCUCACUGCAUGACUGUAAGAGCUGUGUGCCGAAGAGAAAUAGAUGAUGAUCUAGAAAGUGGUUAUUCCUGGAGGGUAAGUUUAAUCUUUGCGAUCUGCAGUGUUGUUGACAGCGUUAUGAUAGCAGGUUUGCGCCAAUUCUAACUUCUGCUUGGAGGAGUCAGAAUUACAUAUGCAGAA